GACGAACGCUGGCGGCGUGCCUAAUACAUGCAAGUUGAGCGCUGAAGGUUGGUACUUGUACCAACUGGAUGAGCAGCGAACGGGUGAGUAACGCGUGGGGAAUCUGCCUUUGAGCGGGGGACAACAUUUGGAAACGAAUGCUAAUACCGCAUAAAAACUUUAAACACAAGUUUUAAGUUUGAAAGAUGCAAUUGCAUCACUCAAAGAUGAUCCCGCGUUGUAUUAGCUAGUUGGUGAGGUAAAGGCUCACCAAGGCGAUGAUACAUAGCCGACCUGAGAGGGUGAUCGGCCACAUUGGGACUGAGACACGGCCCAAACUCCUACGGGAGGCAGCAGUAGGGAAUCUUCGGCAAUGGACGAAAGUCUGACCGAGCAACGCCGCGUGAGUGAAGAAGGUUUUCGGAUCGUAAAACUCGGUUGGUAGAGAAGAACGUUGGUGAGAGUGGAAAGCUCAUCAAGUGACGGUAACUACCCAGAAGGGGACGGCUAACUACGUG
rnacentral:rRNA from 1 species